GCAUUUAUAAACGGACUUGCAACAUACUAAAGACAUUUUACAAAAAUUCGUAACAAAAUACUUACGACGAAUUUUCUUCUUGACUCGACGCUUUGUUGACAAAAAUUGCUUGGCGCGAUACCUACGGCGUGACAUCAUAGACCACGUGAUUGUGCACCGUGGCACUGGGUAGCUUGUGUGUUUGAUGCCAUUGCAUAUUGGGAGUGACCGCACUUGGACAAAAGCCAUAGGAUGGUUAGUGUCGCCACAAGUACCAAUGAAGCUUACGUUGUCAACGUCACAAAUAGUGAACCCAGCAUAGAGACGUAUUACAUCACAGCAUUUUACGUUUACGUUGCUGACGUCAAUAGGAUUAGGAAACGUGUCACCAAAUACUAACGCCGAGAAAAUAUUCUCAACAUUUGCUGUUCUGCUUGGUUGUAAAGAUGAUAUAUUUUGCGGUGAUCACGGUGACCUAGAAUGCACGGGAAAAUCGCUCUACUUUGUACUUGCACUUAGAUCAUACUGUUAUAUAAAGAAGACAGAGUCACAUAUGCUGAAAGAAACUCUGAAUACUUCCCCAGAAUUUUCGGACAAAAAAAUCAUGGAUGAAACACAAGGUCAAUUUUAAGCGGCUCGACAAAGUGGGCGAUCUAACUGGCGCAGAAGAAUGACUAGCACGGUACCGCAGAUUGGAGAUGAGCAUAUAGCGACAUAAAUUCAGCGUUUAAAGACAAAUCAGUUAAAAAUAUAAGAGAACCUAUGUAAUCAUACCUCUUUUCUCCUCAAAAUCAUACAAGGAAGAAUAUUCGUGAAAAACCUACUCUUCAUGGUGAAUAUUUGAGCCGCGACAAGUUAAAGGGACCUUAUCGUAGUUAUAACGUUUUCGAGAUAAAUGACGUCAAAGUUUGCCAGUGCUCCUAAAAGUGGCGGCGUCUUAAAGAAAUGGUAUAAAGGAUUCUUUCAAGCAGGUGCUUGACUGACUCUCGAAUUUGUCGUAUUGAACAGUUAUACAGGCGGUCGGACGCUGAUACAGUAAACCAGGCAGCGGAAGUGGUAAACCAUUCAUCUCAUAGCAACGAGACUGUCAUAUAUGGCAGCAGUGGAAACAUUUCAUUGAGGAUAAGUUUUAAAAAAUCACAAUGUUUCCAAAUACCUGUAUCGCAGAUUCCGAUUCACGUCUGAUGAACCAAGUGUCAUGUUCGUUAGAGUGUCUACAGCAGAUUCCAAGGAAGUAAGAUUUGUAAUUGCAAGACACAUCUCCUUGAAACGGGCCCAUAUGAUGUCAAACCGGAAGUCGCUCCCACAGGACUCGGCGCUGAAUGGCAGCAGUAUCUAUUUAGGCAUGUGCGUCUGUAAGCGCAACAGCUGUUGCAGGAAUGAUUUAAUCGGGUUCAGAUAAACUAAUAGUUAAGAAUAUAGUUUUUAUUAUGUUGAUACAAACUAAAAUACUUCGUCCUGUAGACUACAUGUAUAUACUAGUAAUAGGAUGUAGAGAUGAUAUUUGGAAUUGAUUAACGUAGCAUCGGCACUUCGGAAUCGCGUUAAUGAAGCAAAUAAGUUUGGGAUUUGAUUCCUGUCUGUUUUGUAUCUUAUGAAAAAAGAAAACUGGUUGAGAAAACAAAAACGAGAUUAUUGUUUGUGGAAUUUUGGAGAAAUUACAAUGUAUGUGUAUUUCAUGCGCGGAUGAAUCCAGUUUUCUCAAAGGGGGUCUGACCGAACCCUCGCUAUGACAAACAUGUGUCUCUAUGUAUACUACUAUGACUAAGUUGUGUCUCUUAUGUAUACACUAAGUAAUUUGAUAUGACUUUUGUUGACGCUAGCCGUUUACAAGUAAAGGGUUGCCAUUUAGAUUUUGUUGAACAGGCUGAAAUAGAAAAGUAGCCGACCAGCUUAGGUGUCCGGGGGGCAUGGCCACCAAGCCUUCCCCACUCCCGUCCGGAAAAGUUUGAAAUUCAGCGCUUCAUAUUUUGUAUUCUGGUGCAUUUUAGGAGCAUUUAAGAACAAUUUUCCCACUGCAAUUUUAUGUAAAAAAAUAUAUCGCUUAUUCACACAUUUUAUGAGCUUAUACCAAUUAAAUUUGGAAUGAUGAUAAAA